rnacentral:rRNA from 1 species
UGCGCAGGCGGCCAAGUGUGUGAGGCGUGAAAGCCCGGAGCUUAACUCCGGAAUUGCACCUCAAACUACAUGGCUAGAGCAUUGGAGAGGGUAGCAGAAUUCACGGUGUAGCAGUGAAAUGCGUAGAUAUCGUGAGGAAUACCAGAGGCGAAGGCGGCUACCUGGACAAUUGCUGACGCUCAGGCACGAAAGCGUGGGAGCAAAAG